GAAAAAGCUAAGAAGGGAAAGAAGACUAAAAUAAUGGGAAUUCUUGAUUCCUGAUCUCCACUAGGAGCUUUCAUGGGGAUCAAGAAUCGGACCUUCGCCAGCAACUUGUCUCAGUAUGCGAAAAAAUGAAUGUCAAGUAGAUGCUUUUACUCAGGAGAUUAUUACUUGGAGCUAGCUGCUUAGUAC